UUUACAUCAAUCAAUUAUCAACAUGAUACUCAGUUGUAGGACUUCAAAAGGAAGAGAUUUUCCCAUUUAGUUACAGCGGGGGUGGAGUUGGGAGGAUGCUUGACAAGGGUCUCAGCUGUCACUCUCCUUUGCCUUGAUUUGAAUUGCUGUUGACAGCAUACCAGUAAAGACUUCAGUGAUCAGGAUCAAGUGUCUCCCAGCACUAGCAGAGCAUUUGAUUUGAGGGUGGAGGAAGAAGAAAGAAGAUGGUGGGCAGACUAGCCUGCAUUGCUAAAUGAGGAAGAUGAAGAAUUAAAAAGAAUGCAACUCACAUGCA